rnacentral:lncRNA from 1 species
CACAAAUGGAAGGUGAUCAGUUAAAUAAUUUACAUUUGUUACUCCUACAUUGCUUUUAUCAUUAUCCUUCAACUGGAAUACUAAAUUGUAUUUCUAUUCAUUAUAGACAUUAAUUAUCUAUUUCUGUAGUGGGAUGUUUGUUUUAAUUGGAAAUCAUGUCCCAAAUUCAAGUCCUCUUAUAAUGACUUAACAGAGUGAUGCAGUUUUUUUCAGUUCGAACUUCAAAAUUAAGGAACUGUAGGCGUAUAAUUACAAUUUCUUGUGACAUUUCUAUUAUCUCUUCUAAUUGAUCACACUAUUUGAAUAUGGUGGAUUGAUUCUUGGAAAAAUACAUGAAGCACUUAAAAGACAUAUUGUGCCUGAGAAGUGGAUACGAAUAAAUCAUUGAUCAUAGAUGACAGAUGAGAGGAUGAAUACAGCUCGUCAUAUCUUUUGUUGCUAAAAUGUUUCGAAGUAGAAAAGGAGAAAUAGAAAAAUACCCCUUCAUUAUUCCCCAUUUCAUAUUUAUUGCAAAUAAGUUAAAUUCUAGUUGUAUAUGGAGGGUCUAUGUAAACGUGUCGACUUAUAUUUUUAUAUGAACUAAUCUGGUUUGUAUCUAUUUCACAUUUGUUUAAACAUUGAUAUUUUUAUAAUAACUAACUUGGUUUAGGCUACAUAUUAAAAGUAGCAUAAUGUACUUUUUUGUUUCAUGUAAGUCGUUGUUCAAUAGGUUUUGUCCAUUUAAGUGUUAUUUAUCAUAUUUCCUUAAAUGAGUACUGAAUAACAUUUGCUUAUAGUUAAAAGUGGGAUCCAUGAAAGAGUAAUAAUUAAAAACCUCUUCUUUACUUUUUGUGGAAUUAAUUAGUAGCAUUGUUCAAAGGAAAUACAGCUGCAAAAAAAUUAAUGUACUUGCUUCUUUGGUCUCCGUACAUGCAUAAAUUUAUAUUUUACGUUCUUAGGCUUGCCAUUUGAUUAAUUGCUCAAUUUCUUUAAUGCCUUAAAAACAGUUCCGUCAAUGAGGAAGAAGUGCCUGUGAUUGAUGUUAUAUAGUUCGGGUACUUUAAGGUUUUGGUUACUGGAGUUUUACCGGAAAAUUAGUUGGUGGUUGUUAAGGCUAAGCUUGUGUGGAAGAUUGUUGAGAAGAAAAUUAUGGGGGACGAUGGUGCUGUUUUACUAAUUAUUGAGUUUGUUGUUUUUUUUUAUUUUUUUAAAUGUAUUAGAUUUUUAGGUGCUUUAAAAUUUGGGAUUUGAAUUUUGUACAGAUAUUGUUACAUUUUGG